rnacentral:lncRNA from 1 species
CUUCCUCCUUCCUGGUCCCCAAAUCAGGCCCCUCCUGCCCACCCGCUGGGCUCGGUGGGAGGUAAGAGGUGGGAUGGGGGCGGCGCUAAUGGGCAUCGGACUAGACUUUUUUGUUUAAGAACCGCUUGAAAGGGUUCUGAAAACACCGUGUAUCCUUUGUAUAUUUUUAGUUGAUAUCUAAACGUGUAGUAAUUUCUGGCAUACAGUCGAAUAUUUAGGUGGACUUUUUUGUCAAAACCGUAGAACUUUCUCAUCAGCUCAUUAAAUUUAUACAAAAGGUCCUCCCCACCCCCCAUUAUAUAAUUGCUAAAGCUAGUCCUUACCGUCCAGACGAGACUUGUUUUCUGCCUGAAAAAAGUCCUUCGCUUUUUCAGUCAAAAUGAACCCGUUAAUUUAUGAUGUCGCGAUAAAUUCCCCUAGUGAGAUUCCUCACUAGGCGAAUUGGAAUCCUGGUCUUAGAGCGACCGGGGAUGACAGAUGACAGACGGAGGGAAGGAAGUGGGGAGAGAUGGAGACACAAGGUGUGGCGAGACGGAGGGAUAACGCAGGACCGUAUGCCACUUCUGUCGCCUGUCCCACAUUCCUUACUCUACGUGGGUUUGCGGUCGGGACUGUCCCUCGGGAACCGAGAGGCGGAUCCAGGAAGGAUGGGAGUGGGAGAGGGCGGAUGCUGGCGAGGACUCAGGCAGCCCGGGAUAGGAGGACCUCUAGGAACGGAGACCCUCCGCGGCUCUGCGCCCAAGUAGCCCUGCAGGGGCCGGGGGACCCCGGGGGCGCACAAUGGCCCGUUUGAACCGUCGCCCUGGGGCCCGAGUGCGUCCUCGGGGUCCCUCGGGAGUGGCCUGAGAGGCGCUGCCCGCGGGAGCGAAAAUCGCGUAACGGCCCUGAGGGCGCCACGCCACGCCACGCCACGCCACGCCGCGCGGAAGCCCCCGGCUCCCGGCCCCACGUUUCCCACUCUCAGGCCGGCAUCGGCCUUUCCACCAGAGCUCGGCUGCAGUCAGAAGCCCCUGGCGUUAGUUGAGGUCAAUGGCAGCCCUGAUUUAAUUAUUAAAAGACCACGCCGAGCCGGGUUCAUGGGUACCUGGCCUCUGAUUGGUGGGAAUCAGAUGAAAAAAAUGAAAAUGCCACUGCCUUUUUAAAAGAGAAGACGUGGGCUGAAUUCUUGGGGUUUUGACAGUAGGCAACCAUUUAGGUAUUUUAUUAUUUACGAGAUCUCCAAGGAUGCCUCUUGAUUUUUUGCUUUCCCCUCUGAGUGUUCAGAAACAUAUUCGAGCAUUUGAAAGCUCCGUAGAAUGAUGGAGUUUGUUUUCAUUUCUGUACUAAUUUAUUUUUCAAGGGAUAGUGAUUAUAGUUGGGUCAGGUUUAAUAAAGAAAGUGAACAAGAAGCUGGGUUAGAAAGUAAUGUCUGUGUGGUGGUGGGGAGAGGACUUUUAGGAGGUAACAUCUCAGCCAAUUUCUAAAAGGGAUGGGAGUGGGAAGAAUGUAUGUAGAGUGUUCCAGUCAGAGGGAACAAGAUAUGCUGAGUACUUGCUGUGCUGGGGUAUUAGUGUGGCUAGGGCAUCAGGAAACAGUGCAAAGGAAGAAUGACAGUCAUUGAAAUUGGAGGGAAAUUAAGGUCUUGAACUUUCAGUGCCUUGUAGACCAUAGAAGGAGUUUGGACUUUCUUCCAAGUGCUAGGGAAAGUGGAGUUUUAGCCUGGAAAAUAACAUGAUUUGCCAAGGAAACGGCAGGGGAGACUCUCUAUUCCAGUGGCUACUGCCACUCCUGAAAAGUCAACGUUACAGCAAUGGCGACAAGUUCUAAGGUCCUUACGAGGCAUUCUCCUUCAAGGGGACCAGCCAAAUACCUAGAAGCAGGAAUGUCAAUUACUUUAGACUCCCUUUUGUCAUGGAUCAGCCAAUAGUUUGCUUCCCUACAUUAGUUCCACAUUCUGGAAUGGGAUUUGGUUUUGCUGCAAGCACUAUUCCCUAUUAAUUAUAGACCUAUUAUACUAUUCCGGUGAUGGUUAACACUAAAAGCCCAGAUUUCAACCACUAUGCAACAUAUCAAUGCAUCAAAACUGUACUUGUACUUCCAAAUUUAUACAAAAUAAUAAUAAUAAUAAUAGACCUAUCACAUUAUCCCAUACACCAUUCCUCUAACCAAAGGCCAUGGGCUUCACUGCUCUUAUAAUGUGACCCAUUAUUCAGGUGCCAGCUAGGAGACAAUGCAUUGUAAAGUUAGAAUAUGCAGUAUAUGUUCUCAUCCAAGACUAUUGAUCAGUACAGAAAUUGAUAACCUAGAAAUAGGAAUUGUGAUUGCUGACCCUUGUAUUAGGGUUUUCUAGAAGGACAGAACUAAUAGGAUAUAUAUGUCUAUCCUAUUAGGAUAGACAUAUAUAUCCUGUUAUGUAUGUAUAUAACUACUACUUAAUAAAAUAUAUAUAUGGGAGUUUAUUAAGUAGUAGUUAACUCACAUGAUCACAAGGUCCCACAAUAGGCUGUCUGCAAGCUGAGGAGCAAGGAAGCCAGUCUGAGACCCAAAGCUGAAGAACUUGGAGUUCGAUGUUCAAGGAAGCAUCCAGCAUGGGAGAAAGAUGUAGGCUGGGAGAUGUAGACUGUAAGACAGUCUAGCCUUUUCAGGUUUUUCUGCCUGCUUUUUAUAUCCUGGCCAUACUGGCAGCUGAUUAGAUGGUGCCCACUCAAAUUAAAGGUGGGUCUACCUUUCCCAUCCCACUGAUUCAAAUGUUAAUCUCCUUUGGCAACACCCUCACAGACACAUCCGGAAUCAAUACUUUGCAUCCUUCAAUCCAAUCAAGUUGACACUCAGUAUUAACCAUCACAACCCUAAAAUGUAGAACUGGCCUAGUAAAGGAAGUGGGGACAGUGAGGAGUCAUCCAUCCCAGGCUUGGAAAGUAGCAAGUUUUAUUGGUUUUAUCAGUGCUACUAAAAAUGUGAUGUACAGACCAAAGCCAGUCUGCAAGCUCUACUAGUCAACAAUGAAAGAGAUAUGGAAAGUGAGAGGAGGAUUUGGAAACGUUUAAUAAUUUGACAUCACAGGGCUAUCUAAGCAUGCAGUUUUGUAUUUAUGAAAAUAUUUGUCUGCAAUGGGCUGGUAAUUAAAAAUAAUCCAAAAAUUGAUUCUUCACCCUAGAGACUUUGAAAAACACUGGUAGAUUAUUUGUUAUGUCCAGUAAGGCUCUAACUUUAGGGAAAUUGGCAAAAACAAAACAAAACAAACAAACAAACGGGCUAUUGGAAUAUGUUGGCUACUUCUUGCUUCAGUGCCAUGAGAGAGACAAACUAGCUCAGCAUGGCCUUUCUGAAAGAAACCAGCAAUAGUGAGAUGUAAAUUACAAAGCAUUGUUGAGGAGCUCUUUUUCUAGUGGUUUAGUUAUCCUGUAUUCCUAAGGAUCAGAUAAUAUCUACUCUGCCAAGUGAAAUAACGAAAAUUUCUGCCGUCUAUAAGUUAAUACACUAAGUAGGAAUUAGCAAUGGAGUCAUGGAUGCUUCAUUCCUCAGAACUCUUCCCAAAUAUCUUCUGCUAUGCUUCCUUAUCAAUGGAAAAAGGUAAGUCCUCCCAUUAUACCAGUUGAGUGGUAUACAACUUAAGGGCUGGCAUCCAAUACGAUAACCUAGCUUCAUAAUCCCAGCCUGUUCUCUUCCUCACCCUUGGAGAGCCUAUGACAAAAGCCAUUGAACUAAGAUAUCCAGGGAGAUUUCAUGGAGCUGCCAGGCUAGUUUUCAAGAGAUCAAAACAGGAAGGGUAGUGUCCAUAUUUGAACCUGAAGUCUUAGUGAGAUUUCUGAUAACAAGCUAAUGGAUUUCGCCAAAUGACACUGACUGGCAGCCAAGUCAAGUUUUAAGGUAUCGCUAGAAAUUCCUCCUCAGCCUGGCAAAAGGUACCUACUGUUGUGCUGUCUUAAAGGCAACGUCCCAGUCUCCAUUCCUGAUAGAAAGAUGGCUACCUAAUGGCUGCCAGGAUUCCUUUCACUACAUCUCUGAGGCAGGAUCUUUGAGAAGGAAAAUCUUGACACGUUGCUUGGCUGACAGAGAUCUUGAUUCUUUGCCGUAGAAGCGAAGUCUGUCUUACUCUUCUUACUCUUGUCCAGCAGGAUAUGGUAUAUGCUCACAACCAUUGUAUGUUGCUUUUCCUUUUUCUGUUUUCUCAUUAGUUUUUGUUAUCUAGUGCCCCCCACCCCCUACACCUUUAACAUACAUUUGUACUCUAGGGAUACAUUCAUUAUUCAUUAUUUAGCUACAUCUGGACCUCAUCAAGAUUGACAGUACUCAAAGAUCCUGAAUUUGAGGCUGGAUUCAAUAUCGGGAUGUGACUGAGUUUUCUCCUCUCACUAGGGAGGGACUGGGUAUGGAGAAACCAGGGUGUGUGUGUGUGUGUGUGUGUGUGUGUUCAUGCAUGCACUGAGCAGUCAAAGGGUGAAGUGUAGGGAACAUUUUUGUUUUGUUAGCCCAGAACUCCUCUCU